rnacentral:rRNA from 1 species
UACGUAGGGUGCGAGCGUUAAUCGGAAUUACUGGGCGUAAAGCGUGCGCAGGCGGCUUUGCAAGACAGAUGUGAAAUCCCCGGGCUCAACCUGGGAACUGCAUUUGUGACUGCAAUGCUAGAGGACGGCAGAGGGGGAUGGAAUUCCGCGUGUAGCAGUGAAAUGCGUAGAUAUGCGGAGGAACACCAAUGGCGAAGGCAAUCCCCUGGGCAUGUACUGACGCUGAUGCACGAAAGCGUGGGGAGCAAACAGG